rnacentral:lncRNA from 1 species
AAAAAUCCACCUCUAAGCGAAUAAAUUACAUCCAAUUGAGUACAUUUUCUGAUAAACAACAAUAUAAGGAAUCAAAACCUUAGCUUUUGAACACAUUAUUUCUAAAUAUAUCAUGAACAAAAAAUCAAAAGGGGCAAAAAAAAAAAAAAAAAACAGCGGAAAUUUGGUUUCGCAGACAUCUCUGUGUUCAUGUGAAAUUUCAUGCUGUAAUUGACCAAAUUACAUAAAAUUGAAUAUGUUAAAUCAUAAUAGACACAAUAAAGAUUAAAAACCCUACAAAUUGAACUCAUUAUCUUCAAAAUAUGCAAUGAAAUUAAUCAUAUGGCGGAAAAAAAAAAAACCAAACUUCUUACCUGGUUUUGUGAACCGGAGCCUUCCAUCUCCAAAAAAACUUUGUUUUUCUCAACGAUUAUCACAAAUUAGUAACAUAAGGUUUUGAUGAGCAACUUUACGACCAAAAUGCCUACAAAUUUUGAAAGAUUCAUGCCCUAUUUGGCAUAAAAAACAAGGAAAGGCGGAAACCCUAAAAAUGCAAGUUUCGUGAUCCAAAAACACAAAAUUUCUCAACCAUUUAAUUCGUGUAAAAGCUGAAUAAAGCUGUUUAAAGCCUGCAAAUUAGAUCGCAUGCGAAAAAAAACAAGAAAAAUGAUAAAAAAAUGACAAAUUUCGAAGAAUCCCGUGAAGAACACUGUGCAGCCCGUGUUCUUCACGGGACUAGCCGAUUCCAUACAGUGAAUCGGCGAGUCACUGUGUAGAAUAGUCCGGUUCUCUCUAGAACUAGAUGAUUCCCGAUUUUUUUAACAGUUCGAGCCGUCCAUGACGAUUCUCGAGUCGAACCGGGCAAGUCCGGUUAGACUCGACGUUUUUUAAACACUGGUUUAUACAGUUUUUGGUGUUUAUGUACACUAAUAUGUAUAUACUCAUGCUCAUAUGCAUAUGUAUAAUGGGUUUAUAUAUGUGCUAAUAUAUAAGGCCAUGUAUAUACUUAUUAUCAGUGAUAUAUAUAUACAAUUAUUAGCUCAAUGUAUAUCAAUAUAUACCAUUCUUUUCAAAGUAUAUAUAUAUACUGCUGCAUAUAACCAUACAAUACAUUGGUUAUCAGCUAUAUAUACAGUUACUAGUGUGUAAAAAUACAUUGAUAUGUGUGUGUGUGAUGUCUGUAUAUAUAUGAUGUGUAUAUAUGUGUGUGUAUAUGUAAAGUGCAUAAAUGUAUAUAUACAGUGCAUUAAUAUAUACAUUUAUAUAUACAAUGCAUUAAUAUAUACAUUUAUAUAUACAUGGAUGUAUAUGACCAUAUAUAUUUAUUAUUAGUUUAUACUUUUAUUAACGUAUAUGUACACUGAUUUAUAUACUACACACACAUCCGCCCACUCACUCUCAUCCUCACACUCACACUAACACUCACUCAUAUACACACACACACACAAACCCACACACUCGCACUCGCACUCGCACUCGCACUCGCACUUGCACUUGCACUCGCACUCGCACUCGCACUUGCACUUGCACUCGCACUCGCACUCGCACUAGCACUAGCACUUGCACUCGCACUCACACUCGCACUCGCACUCGCACUCAUACUCACACUCACACUCACACUGACAAAUAUAUAUACUAUCACCUGUAAUUUGAUUAGCCUUGGCGAAAUUGCUUAUUACUUUGUAUACAAUUAAGCAUAAGAAUGGGUUUCUUCUCUUGAUGAAUUGGGUAUGCUAAAUACCCUAUCGUGAUAGUCCAUGUAAAUUUUUUAUCUUAUUUGUACUUGUUUUUAUUAUUAUUGAUGAGCUUCAUCUUCAUUGAGUUUUCUUGUAAAUCAACAAGCAUGAAAGCAACUUAUCAUAGAGUGGGGAUCUCUUUACGUUAUUCGAUAUUUGAGAUCUUGAUAUUGCAAACUUGAUCUACUUGAUGGUUCUUUCUUCUCUAUUAUAAUACUGCUUUUGCUUCUUUCAUGCAAAUAUGGAGUGAAUUUUCUAGAGCUUUACUUGUAGUUUUCAAUACUAUAAACGUUUCUAUAUACAUUGAUGUAUAUGACCAUAUAUACAUUUAUUAUCAGUUUAUACAGUUGUUAACCUAUAUGUACACUGAUUUAUAUACUACAUACACACAUACACACACACUCAUACUCACACUCACACUCAUAGAUAUAUAUACUACACAUAUAUGCGUGUUGUGUAUGGACUGAUAUGUAUAUAUAUACGAUAUGUAUAUACUGAUAUGUUUAUGCAUGUAUAUAUACAAUUGCUUGCUAUCAGUUAUAUACAAUUAUCAAUGUAUAUAUACAUUUAUUCAUGAAGAUAUUUCCAAAGGAUAUAAUACAAUGAUAUGAAGAUAUGAUAUGUCCAGAACUCAUCAUAUGAAGGCUCCAAGAUGCCUUUAGAGUCUUAUUCAUCAGUCAACUCAUAUAUAUCAUGACUUAUGACUAAUGAUAACGAGAGGAGUCAAACCAUAUCAAUGUGAGACAAAUUCUAGGAUACAUAUACUCCUAAGGUUCAUACAUGUGUCUUCAUAAGAUAUUAAAGGAAUUUGAUGCGGUAUGACACUUUCCAAUCUGACGUUGGUCUAAUGUUCUCCUUGACUAACAAUUGAUGAUAGAAGAUACCUUUACCAUCUCAAACGCGAGACAAGUUUUAGGUUAUAUAUGCUCUUAAG